GCAGCAUGACUGUAGCAAUACAGUUGAUGGCGACCGGCAAACGGAUGCGGAACACGUACAGAACCUUCCUUCGAGCGGGGAAUAGCCCAGAGAAAUUUGGAUUAAUACCCCAUAGCAUUACGGAGUGGCAUCACUUUGUAAUUAAAGAUUUAUCACUUGAAGAUGGCUGUGCGGCUGAUUAGGUAGUUGGUAAGGUAACGGCUUACCAAGCCUGCGAUCAGUAACUGGUGUGAGAGCACGACCAGUCACACGGGCACUGAGACACGGGCCCGACUCCUACGGGAGGCAGCAGUAAGGAAUAUUGGUCAAUGGACGAAAGUCUGAACCAGCUAUGCCGCGUGGAGGAUGAAGGCCCUCUGGGUUGUAAACUUCUUUUAUAUGGGACGAAAAAAGGGUCUUUCUAGAUCAACUGACGGUACCAUGUGAAUAAGCACCGGCUAACUCCGUGCCAGCAGCCGCGGUAAUACGGA
rnacentral:rRNA from 1 species